UUUAAGUACAGUUGUGGAUUUUCAUAUUUAACGUUUAACCGUCCGUCUUAUUUAAAUUUUAUUUAAAUUUUUUUUAUGAUUAGUAUUUUUAUUCUUAUUAGAUGAUAAAACAUGCUUUAUUCGUGACUUAUUUUUUAAAUUAUUUUAAUAAAAUUUUCAAAUAAGUCGGACGGUUAAACAUUGGACACGGAAACCCAUAACUACAUUUAAA
rfam:Oryza glaberrima chromosome 5 Oglab05_0017_5, whole genome shotgun sequence.